CCUACGGGUGGCUGCAGUGGGGAAUAUUGGACAAUGGGCGAAAGCCUGAUCCAGCCAUGCCGCGUGUGUGAAGAAGGCCUUCGGGUUGUAAAGCACUUUCAGUGGGGAAGAAAGCCUUGGGGCUAAUACCCUCGAGGAAGGACAUCACCCACAGAAGAAGCACCGGCUAACUCCGUGCCAGCAGCCGCGGUAAUACGGAGGGAGCGAGCGUUAAUCGGAAUUACUGGGCGUAAAGCGCGCGUAGGCGGUCUGAUAAGCCGGUUGUGAAAGCCCCGGGCUCAACCUGGGAACGGCAUCCGGAACUGUCAGGCUAGAGUGCAGGAGAGGAAGGUAGAAUUCCCGGUGUAGCGGUGAAAUGCGUAGAGAUCGGGAGGAAUACCAGUGGCGAAGGCGGCCUUCUGGACUGACACUGACGCUGAGGUGCGAAAGCGUGGGUAGCAAACAGGAUUAGAUACCCCUGUAGUC
rnacentral:rRNA from 1 species